UUCCGGUUGAUCCUGCCGGAGGCCAUUGCUAUCGGGGUCCGAUUUAGCCAUGCUAGUCGCACGGGUUCAGACCCGUGGCAAACAGCUCAGUAACACGUGGCCAAACUACCCUAUGGACGUGGACACCCUCGGGAAACUGAGGCUAAUCCACGAUACGGCUCUCACGCUGGAAUGCGGGGAGCCGGAAACGCUCCGGCGCCCUAGGAUGUGGCUGCGGUCGAUUAGGUAGACGGUGGGGUAACGGCCCACCGUGCCCAUAAUCGGUACGGGAUGUGAGAGCAAAUAGCCCGGAGAUGGUAUCUGAGACAAGAUACCAGGCCCUACGGGGCGCAGCAGGCGCGAAACCUUUACACUGCACGCCAGUGCGAUAAGGGGACCCCGAGUGCGAGGGCAUACAGUCCUCGCUUUUGUACACCGUAAGGAGGUGUACGAAUAAGGGCUGGGCAAGACCGGUGCCAGCCGCCGCGGUAAUACCGGCAGCCCGAGUGAUGGCCGCUGUUAUUGGGCCUAAAGCGUCCGUAGCCGGCCGAACAAGUCUGUCGGGAAAUCCAUCCGCCUAACGGAUGGGCGUCCGGCAGAAACUGUUCGGCUUGGGGCCGGAAGAUCCGAGGGGUACGUCUGGGGUAGGAGUGAAAUCCUGUAAUCCUGGACGGACCGCCGGUGGCGAAAGCGCCUCGGAAGGACGGACCCGACGGUGAGGGACGAAAGCUGGGGUCUCGAACCGGAUUAGAUACCCGGGUAGUCCCAGCCGUAAACGAUGAUCGCUAGGUGUGGCACAGGCUACGAGCCUGUGCUGUGCCGUAGGGAAGCCGUGAAGCGAUCCGCCUGGGAAGUACGUCCGCAAGGAUGAAACUUAAAGGAAUUGGCGGG
rnacentral:rRNA from 1 species